CGGGGUGUGGCGCAGGGGUAGCGCGCGCCGUUCGGGACGGCGAGGUCGACGGUUCAAAUCCGUCCACCCCGA
rnacentral:tRNA from 2 species